rnacentral:rRNA from 1 species
GAUGAACGCUGGCGGUAUGCCUAAUACAUGCAAGUCGAGCGGUCAGACCAGAAGUUUUCUCCUCUGAGGUUAGCGGCGGACAGAAUCGUAACUCGUGGAGGACCUACCUAUAAGACUUGGAUGAUAUUACGGGACCGGCGCUAAGACCGGAGAAUAAUUUCAAGCACAUGAUUCAGCAGUGAAAUACGUUCUUGCUGUCGCUAGUAGAUAGAUCCGCUCUGCAUUAGCGAUGGGGUAAGGUAACGACUUACCAAGGCAAGGAUGGAUAGCGGACCUGAGAGGGCGAACGGCUACACUGGAACUGAGAACGGGUACCGACUCUGACGGGAGGCAGCAGUAGGGAAUCUUCCGGGAUGGGCGAAAGGCGGACGGAGCAAAGCCGCGUGAGGGAUGACGGUCUUCGGAUCGUAGAACUCUGUUAUCAGGGAAGAAGAUAUGUGUAAGUCACAGUGCACAUCUUGACGGUACCUGAGCAGUAAGCCACGGCUAACUCCGUG